UACGGGGGGGGCAAGCGUUGUUCGGAAUUACUGGGCGUAAAGGGCUCGUAGGUGGCCAACUAAGUCAGACGUGAAAUCCCCAGGCUCAACUUGGGAACUGCGUCUGAUACUGGAUGGCUUGAAUUCGGGAGAGGGAUGCAGAAUUCCAGGUGUAGCGGUGAAAUGCGUAGAUAUCUGGAGGAAUACCGGUGGCGAAGGCGGCAUCCUGGACCGAUAUUGACACUGAUGAGCGAAAGCUAAGGGGAGCGAAACGG
rnacentral:rRNA from 1 species